rnacentral:rRNA from 1 species
CAGCAGCCGCGGUAAUACGGAAGGUCCGGGCGUUAUCCGGAUUUAUUGGGUUUAAAGGGAGCGUAGGCAGUUUUUUAAGCGUGCUGUGAAAUGUACCGGCUCAACCGGUGAUGUGCAGCGCGAACUGGGAAUCUUGAGUACGCAGUAAGCAGGCGGAAUUCGUGGUGUAGCGGUGAAAUGCUUAGAUAUCACGAAGAACUCCGAUUGCGUAGGCAGCUUGCUGUAGCGUAACUGACGCUGAAGCUCGAAAGUGCGGGUAUCGAACAGGAUUAGAUACCCUGGUAGUCCGCACGGUAAACGAUGGAUGCCCGCUGUCGGCCUUUUUUGGUCGGUGGCCAAGCGAAAGCGUUAAGCAUCCCACCUGGGGAGUACGCCGGCAACGGUGAAACUCAAAGGAAUUGACGGGGGCCCGCACAAGCGGAGGAACAUGUGGUUUAAUUCGAUGAUACGCGAGGAACCUUACCCGGGCUUGAACUGCCAUUGACUUGAAUAGAGAUAUUCAUUCCCUUCGGGGCAUUGGUGGAGGUGCUGCAUGGUUGUCGUCAGCUCGUGCCGUGAGGUGUCGGCUUAAGUGCCAUAACGAGCGCAACCCCUUUUUUCAGUUGCCAUCGGUUAAAGCCGGGCACUCUGUGAAUACUGCCGCCGUAAGGUGUGAGGAAGGUGGGGAUGACGUCAAAUCAGCACGGCCCUUACGUCCGGGGCUACACACGUGUUACAAUGGCGCGUACAGCGAGUCGGCCGUAUGUAAAUGCGGUCCAAUCCUUAAAACGCGCCUCAGUUCGGACUGGGGUCUGCAACCCGACCCCACGAAGCUGGAUUCGCUAGUAAUCGCGCAUCAGCCAUGGCGCGGUGAAUACGUUCCCGGGCCUUGUACACACCGCCCGUCAAGCCAUGAAAGCCGGGGGUGCCUGAAGUCCGUGACCGCAAGGUCGGCCUAAGGCAAUACUGGUAAUUGGGGCUAAGUCGUAACAAGGUAGCCGU